UGGAUUAAUGAUGAGCACGUGUCAUGAACCAAGGAUUGUGAUGGACUGAAUUCUGUCCAUUUGAGGUCCUAG
rnacentral:snoRNA from 1 species